AGUGGUGACAAUGUUUCCCGUAGGUGAACCUGCGGAAGGAUCACUGAAUCUAUCAAUAACCACACCGUGAACCUCUUUGUCUGGCCCAUCAUUCCCUUCUGGGGUUUGGUGCUUCCCGGGCAGCAUUAACUUGCUGCUUGGGUUGGGCUCGGCUGUCCAUUCACUCUGGGCAGUCGGGUUGGUCCUUAACCAACCAACAACACCAAUCCAAAACUAAAGCCAAAGAUAUGUGCUCGGCCUAGCCGUCACAUCCUAACUGAGACAACUCUCAACAACGGAUAUCUUGGCUCUCGCAACGAUGAAGAACGCAGCGAAAUGCGAUACGUAGUGUGAAUUGCAGAAUUCCGUGAAUCAUCAAAUCUUUGAACGCACAUUGCGCCCGAAGCUUCGGCUUAGGGCAUGUUUGCCUCAGCGUCGGGUUAAUCUCACUCCCCACCUCCCAUAGUGUGAAGUCGGGUAAGUGGAUCUGGCUGUUCCAGAACUUGAGUGCUCCGUCUGGGCGUCCCUCCUAAGCUCUGGAUCAGCUGAAGAGUAGAGGCUAGCUCAAGGACCCGUCAAGGGCCGCAACUGGGUAGGCAGCUCACGCUUGCUAUUUCUAGUUGUUGGCUUGGGACCAUGGGCUUGGCCCUCAAACAGGAACCUCUUUUUUUUCUCGACCUGAGCUCAAGCAAGACCACCCGCUGAACUUAAG
rnacentral:rRNA from 1 species